rnacentral:rRNA from 1 species
CUGCGAAUGGCUCAUUAUAUAAGUUAUCGUUUAUUUGAUAGUACCUUACUACUUGGAUAACCGUGGUAAUUCUAGAGCUAAUACAUGCUAAAAAUCCCGACUUUGGAAGGGAUGUAUUUAUUAGAUUAAAAACCAAUGCCCUUCGGGGCUCUCUGGUGAUUCAUGAUAACUUCUCGAAUCGCAUGGCCUUGCGCCGGCGAUGGUUCAUUCAAAUUUCUUCCCUAUCAACUUUCGAUGUUUGGGUAUUGGCCAAACAUGGUUGCAACGGGUAACGGAGGGUUAGGGCUCGACCCCGGAGAAGGAGCCUGAGAAACGGCUACUACAUCCAAGGAAGGCAGCAGGCGCGCAAAUUACCCAAUCCCGACACGGGGAGGUAGUGACAAUAAAUACUGAUACAGGGCUCUUUUGGGUCUUGUAAUUGGAAUGAGUACAAUUUAAACCCCUUAACGAGGAACAAUUGGAGGGCAAGUCUGGUGCCAGCAGCCGCGGUAAUUCCAGCUCCAAUAGCGUAUAUUAAAGUUGUUGUGGUUAAAAAGCUCGUAGUUGAACCUUGGGCCUGGCUGGCCGGUCCGCCUCACCGCGUGUACUGGUCCGGCCGGGCCUUUCCCUCUGUGGAACCCCAUGCCCUUCACUGGGUGUGGUGGGGAAACAGGACUUUUACUUUGAAAAAAUUAGAGUGCUCCAGGCAGGCCUAUGCUCGAAUACAUUAGCAUGGAAUAAUAGAAUAGGACGUGUGGUUCUAUUUUGUUGGUUUCUAGGACCGCCGUAAUGAUUAAUAGGGACAGUCGGGGGCAUCAGUAUUCAAUUGUCAGAGGUGAAAUUCUUGGAUUUAUUGAAGACUAACUACUGCGAAAGCAUUUGCCAAGGAUGUUUUCAUUAAUCAGGAACGAAAGUUAGGGG